GUACGGGAGGCAGCAGGUGGGGAAUAUUGCACAAGUGGGCGUAAGCCUGAUGCAGCCAUGCCGCGUGUAUGAAAAGGCCUUCGGGUUGUAAAGUACUUUCAGUCGUGAGGAAGGUGUUAAGGUUAAUAACCUUAGCAAUUGACGUUAGCGACAGAAGAAGCACCGGCUAACUCCGUGCCAGCAGCCGCGGUAAUACGGAGGGUGCGAGCGUUAAUCGGAAUUACUGGGCGUAAAGGGCACGCAGGCGGUUAAUUAAGUUGGAUGUGAAAUCCCCGGGCUUAACCUGGGAAUGGCAUUCAAGACUGGUUAGCUAGAGUCUUGUAGAGGGGGUAGAAUUCCAUGUGUAGCGGUGAAAUGCGUAGAGAUGUGGAGGAAUACCGGUGGCGAAGGCGGCCCCCUGGACAAAGACUGACGCUCAUGUGCGAAAGCGUGGGGAGCAAACAGGGAUUAGAUACC
rnacentral:rRNA from 1 species